GCUUCGGCGCUCGAUGAAGUUGGGCCAGACCUGUCCCACGCUUGCGUACUCGGAGUAAGAUGGCAGCGGCGGUGGCCGCCCGGUUAGGCGGUGCAGCUGCUGCGGCCGCUGCCGUGGGGCUCAGCAAGCGAUUCUUUCACAUGAAUUCAUACACCGUUAAGAAACAGCCUUUGCAUCAGUUUAUACAAAGACCAGUUUUCCCACUACCUGCAACCUUAUAUUACACAGUGAGAUACAUGUUUAUUCAAACACAAGAUACUCCAAAUCCCAACAGUUUAAAGUUUAUUCCAGGAAAACCAGUUCUUGAGACAAGGACCAUGGAUUUUCCCACACCAGCUGCAGCAUUUCGCUCCCCCCUGGCUAGGCAAUUAUUUAGGAUUGAAGGAAUAAAAAGUGUCUUCUUUGGACCAGAUUUCAUCACUGUCACAAAGGUAAGUGAAGAGUUAGACUGGAAUUUACUGAAACCAGAUAUUUAUGCAACAAUCAUGGAUUUUUUUGCAUCUGGCUUACCUUUAGUUACUGAGGAAACAUCUUCAGGAGAAGCAGGAUCUGAAGAAGACGAUGAAGUUGUGGCAAUGAUUAAGGAAUUGUUAGAUACUAGAAUACGGCCAACUGUGCAGGAAGAUGGAGGAGAUGUAAUCUAUAAAGGCUUUGAGGAUGGCAUUGUACAGCUGAAACUCCAAGGUUCUUGUACCAGCUGCCCCAGUUCGAUCAUUACUCUGAAAAGUGGAAUUCAGAACAUGCUGCAGUUUUAUAUUCCAGAAGUAGAAGGUGUAGAACAGUGAUUCUCAGCCAAGAGGCAUGGCUUAUGGAGAAAGAUUAUCAAGGAGGGAAAGAAUGUAUGGAAAUUAGAAUCUGAAAAAAACUCUUCAGGUUAUGGAUGAUGAAUCAGAUGAAAAAGAAGCAAACUCACCUUAAAAUAAUUUGAGUUUUCUUUGGGCCCAGCAGUCAGACUUGUUGAUAAUAUUAUAUACCAAGCUUUUAUCUGCUAAGGAACUUGAGGAUAAUAAAAUAGACAAAUAGGCCCUUUCUUUAGAAAUAUAUAAAUAUUGAAUGUU